AGCGAGCGGAACUAACAGAUUUACUUCGGUAAUGACGUUAGGAAAGCGAGCGGCGGAUGGGUGAGUAACACGUGGGGAACCUGCCCCAUAGUCUGGGAUACCACUUGGAAACAGGUGCUAAUACCGGAUAAGAAAGCAGAUCGCAUGAUCAGCUUUUAAAAGGCGGCGUAAGCUGUCGCUAUGGGAUGGCCCCGCGGUGCAUUAGCUAGUUGGUAAGGUAAAGGCUUACCAAAGCGAUGAUGCAUAGCCGAGUUGAGAGACUGAUCGGCCACACUGGGACUGAGACACGGCCCAAACUCCUACGGGAGGCAGCAGUAGGGAAUCUUCCACAAUGGACGCAAGUCUGAUGGAGCAACGCCGCGUGAGUGAAGAAGGUUUUCGGAUCGUAAAGCUCUGUUGUUGGUGAAGAAGGAUAGAGGUAGUAACUGGCCUUUAUUUGACGGUAAUCAACCAGAAAGUCACGGCUAACUACGUGCCAGCAGCCGCGGUAAUACGUAGGUGGCAAGCGUUGUCCGGAUUUAUUGGGCGUAAAGCGAGCGCAGGCGGAAGAAUAAGUCUGAUGUGAAAGCCCUCGGCUUAACCGAGGAACUGCAUCGGAAACUGUUUUUCUUGAGUGCAGAAGAGGAGAGUGGAACUCCAUGUGUAGCGGUGGAAUGCGUAGAUAUAUGGAAGAACACCAGUGGC
rnacentral:rRNA from 1 species